UUCGGAUUGUAGGCUGAAACUCGCCUACAUGAAGUUGGAGUUGCUAGUAAUCGCGAAUCAGCAUGUCGCGGUGAAUACGUUCCCGGGUCUUGUACACACCGCCCGUCACACCAUGAGAGCCGGUAACACCCGAAGCCCGUGAGGUAACCGUAAGGAGCCAGCGGUCGAAGGUGGGAUUGGUGAUUGGGGUGAAGUCGUAACAAGGUAGCCGUAGGAGAACCUGCGGCUGGAUCACCUCCUUU
rnacentral:ncRNA from 1 species